rnacentral:lncRNA from 1 species
UGAAUUGGAUCAUACCUGAGUAAUUGGAGUUAUACCAAAUUUUCAAAUUGAAAACACAUAAAUGCAUCUUCUCAUUAAAGAAUUUGUUUGCGAUUAUAUAACAAACUCGUGAUACUUUGAUCAAGAAGCUUGCAUCAAAACCCAAUACCAUAAGAUAUAAUAAAUAUAUCCGUAUAAUGGCUAGGAAAUGAUACACGUUCCAUUUAAUCAAGUAAGUAAGGAAACAAUAAGAGUAGUGGUAUUUCAUUGUCGAUACCAAACCGAAAUCUGAUAUCUCCCACUUAUUCUACACCUCUUAUGUCUCCUUACACUGCCAGAUUAGAGUCAAGCUCAAAAGGGUCUUCUUUCCCCGCUAAUUAUUCCAAGCCCGUUCCCUNCCUUACCUACAUUAUUCUAUCGACUAGAGACUCUUCACCUUGGAGACCAGCUGCGGAUAUUGGUACGGCCUGUUGAGAAGUUUGCGUGUCCCCACCAUAAAUUUUCAAGGUCCGAGGAGAAAAUAUCGACACAACAGUAUAUGUCAUGCUCUUCUAGCCCAUCUACCAUAUCUCUCUGCGAAAGACUUCCAUGGUAGUAGUAGAUAGGGACAUGUGUCUGCUGAUCUCUCAGCCUUUAUUUAACGUGGCGGUUCCUCAGGAAGGGAUUUCAACCACGUUGUUGAGUUGCCCGGGAUAAGAAGCUAUAGCAAAUACAUAGCGACUCGGCCCGGUACCAAUUGGAAAGUAUGCUAGUCGGGCAUACUUUCCCCCCUUGGUGAGGAGCGAAGGUGUAUCUAUCACCUCUUCCGAUCUAUGGGUCACGGCACCCGGUUGAGAAACGCAACUCCACGUCGAACCUAACGGCUCUGCCCGCGUAACAUUUGGGCUACCACAGCCACCACGAUACUCCCAUUAGGCCGACCUCAAUGUACAGCCUUGGAACGCUAAUACAACCCGUGGAACCAAGAUUUAGGGCUCAGUUGACCCUCCCCUUUUAGCCCCGACUGGCUCGGAUAGGGUACCCAGUAGAUAGGGAGAUAGAAGUAGAUAGGGACAGUAGACAGUCGGAUUCCCCAAGUCCGUGCCAGUUCUGAAUUGAUUGUUAAUUGAUAAUCGUUAUAAUUAAUAAGAACUAAUUGGUUUUACCCAAUUAGUAUUCUUAAAAAUUUUAGCAAGAAAGUUCCACAAUUGGCUACGUAACUAAACUAUCCGGGGAACAAGUAACUACCAUAAAUGAUAGAAACUCUAUUUACCCAGAACGAGCACAUAAACCAUGUUAUUGUUUCCCAAUCAAGCCCGACUAUCUCAAU